rnacentral:rRNA from 1 species
CGAGUCCGAAAGGGGUAGACGAUGGCAAAUUGGUUAAUAUUCCAAUACCAACAUUAGUGUGCGAUGGAAGGACGCUUAGGGCUAAGGGGGCUAGCGGAUGGAAGUGCUAGUCUAAGGUCGUAGGAGGGUAUACAGGCAAAUCCGUAUAACAAUACUCCGAGAACUGAAAGGCUUUUUGAAGUCUUCGGAUGGAUAGAAGAACCCCUGAUGCCGUCGAGCCAAGAAAAGUUUCUAAGUUUAGCUAAUGUUGCCCGUACCGUAAACCGACACAGGUGGGUGGGAUGAGUAUUCUAAGGCGCGUGGAAGAACUCUCUUUAAGGAACUCUGCAAAAUAGCACCGUAUCUUCGGUAUAAGGUGUGGUUAGCUUCGUACUAGGAUUUACUCCGAAAGCGAAGAAACUUACAACAAAGAGUCCCUCCCGACUGUUUACCAAAAACACAGCACUCUGCUAACUCGUAAGAGGAUGUAUAGGGUGUGACGCCUGCCCGGUGCUCGAAGGUUAAUUGAUGGGGUUAGCAUUAGCGAAGCUCUUGAUCGAAGCCCGAGUAAACGGCGGCCGUAACUAUAACGGUCCUAAGGUAGCGAAAUUCCUUGUCGGUUAAAUACCGACCUGCAUGAAUGGCGUAACGAGAUGGGAGCUGUCUCAAAGAGGGAUCCAGUGAAAUUGUAGUGGAGG